rnacentral:tRNA from 1 species
GUCUCCAUAGCUCAAUUGGAUAGAGCAACAGAUUUCUAAUCUGUGGGUCAUAAGUUCGAGUCUUAUAAGGAGUACGA